rnacentral:piRNA from 1 species
UUGUCGAUCUUUUGAAUUCUU